GAGUUUGAUCGUGGCUCAGGAUGAACGCUGGCGGCGUGCUUAACACAUGCAAGUCGAACGGGCUCAUAUUGAAACCUAGUGAUUUAUGAGUUAGUGGCGGACGGGUGAGUAACGCGUGGAAAACCUGCCGUAUACUGGGGGGAUAACACUUAGAAAUAGGUGCUAAUACCGCAUAAGCGCACAGCUUCGCAUGAAGUGGUGUGAAAAACUCUGGUGGUAUACGAUGGUUCCGCGUCUGAUUAGCUUGUUGGCGGGGUAAGUGGCUCACCAAGGCAACGAUCAGUAGCCGGCCUGAGAGGGUGAACGGCCACAUUGGGACUGAGACACGGCCCCAAACUCCUACGGGAGGCAGCAGUGGGGAAUAUUGCACAAUGGGGGAAACCCUGAUGCAGCGACGCCGCGUGAGUGAAGAAGUAUUUCGGUAUGUAAGCUCUAUCAGCAGGGAGAAAAUGACGGUACCUGAUUAAGACGCCCGGCUAACUACGUGCCAGCCGCCGCCGUAACU
rnacentral:rRNA from 1 species